AAAACUUCCACGGCUAAAUCGAAAAAAUCGAAAGGUAAAUCAAAAAAAGAUGGUUGGGGUGACAGUGAUGAAGAAAUAUCCCAUAAAAAGAUCACUGAAAAAUCAAAACCAGAGGAAGAAGGGUCUCUUGAUAAAUCAAAAGCAAAUUCAAUACCAAGUGGUAACAAAGGCCCCAAUAAAUCUAAAAAGAAUAAGAAAUCCAAAAAAAAUGACGAUUGGUCGGAUGACGAAGCUGAUCAAGAGUUUAAGUUGCCAUCAGAUGAUGAGGAACCCGUGAUUGCUAAACCAGUACUUAAGAAAAAAGGAAAAAAUAAGAAAAUUGAAGAUGAUUUAUCAGAUCCAAAAGAAGAUUCUGAAGAUUUAUCGGACAUUGAUGAACAAUUGCCCACAGAUUUGGCAG